AUGGGACUAGGCAGAGUUUUGUGUUACUUUACUCUAACAAUCUUCAUUCAAUAUUCCUGCAGUCAGACACUGAUCGAGUCUGAUCCAGUGAUCAUCAAACCUGAUCAGUCUCAUAAACUGACCUGCACAGCCUCUGGAUUUAACUUUGGUGGCUCUUGGAUGGCUUGGAUCAGACAGGCACCUGGAAAAGGGCUGGAAUGGGUUGCAACUAUAAGAUAUGACAGUGGUAGCAUAUAUUACUCCAGCACUGUUAAGGGCCGCUUCACCAUCUCCAGAGACAACAAUAAGAUGCAGGUGUAUCUGCAGAUGAACAACAUGAGGACAGAAGACACUGCAGUUUAUUACUGCGCCCGUGACACACAGUGAUACUUCCCCUUAGACAAUAGUACAAAAACACAGACUUACUAUAGACACAUGACAAACCCACAUUUUCAGAUUCAUGGAGUUGAAAGAAACAAAAUGUUUAGAGUGUCUCUGACUUACAUGUUACCACUUGCUGACAUUUACUGGACUGUUCUGAACAUUGUCUGGACAUUCACACUGCUGCACAAAAACCUCAUCACAAUUCACUUCUUUCAUUAAACAAUUCCUACAUUUUACUGAGUAAAUAAUCCCUACAUUCCAAACACUUCCUACAUUAUUUAAAAAGUUAUCAAACAAUUAGGAAUAUGUUGAAUUAUAAAUUGUUUGUGAACAUUUAAUUAGAAGAUAAACUAUCUGCAGUGUUUGUUAUGAUGAAGAUUUCUGUAAAGAGAAUGUUUAUUUCGUGUUGUUGGAAGGAGUCUCCAGUGUCAGAGCGAGAUCAGGGUUAAAGCUGUGACUUUAUUUACAGCAUGAGAAAGUCCUCAUUUUCAGGACAAGUGUUGAGGUUGAGGGAAGGGCUGUUUCUAGCUGUAAUAAUGAACAUGAUAACAGGAAAUAACUUGUUUUUCUGGCCCGAAUACAAGAUUAAACAUAACUAUAAAUAAAUAAAAAAAGAAAAGAAAGACUUCAUGUUGAGAUGAUAACAGAAACUCUGCUUUGAUUCAUUGUUGAUUAUUUUUCUGUAACAAAACCUCCCCAAGUGUUUUAUUCCUUACUUUCUGUCACUGAGCUUUACUCCUUCUCAAUACAGGAGCAGUAGAAAGCCGUCUGUGUGAAAUAAACCAUCACCACGUAACCAUUCCUACAUUUAGGUUUCCUAAUGUGUUCCUUAGAUGAGUGAGGUGUCUUCUAAAAAUGAUUCGAUUUGGUUCCCUUUCUGAUAGAGAAACAUUCUGUUGUAGAGAUUUACAUAGUACCUUAUCAUCCACUCAUCUAUCCAGUGAGCAGCGUGUGGUUGUGGGUUGAACACCUCCACAGUGGUCAUGGACGCUCCCUAUUCAAAUAGAGUGGUUUAUAAACAGCAUGUUUUUGGCUGCUCUAGUUUACAGUGAGCUCUGUGAGAGAUAACACAGCUGUACAAAAACUUACACAAUGUUUUAAGAAUGGUAGGCAGAAUGGAUUAUGAAGGAAAUGAAUGUUUAACUUCAUGCUCAUAAGAUGAACCUUAUCAAUGCUAUCCAACUUCACAAACCUGCUCUCAUAUUCCCAUACAAAACAAAAGUGACAUUAAGGCUACAAAUACCGGAAAACGUAGAGCUAGGAGAGAAAG